GUGGGGAAUAUUGGGCAAUGGGCGAAAGCCUGACCCAGCAACGCCGCGUGAGGGAAGAAGGCCUUCGGGUUGUAAACCUCUGUCCUUGGUGACGAAAAAAAUGACGGUAGCCAAGGAGGAAGCCCCGGCUAACUACGUGCCAGCAGCCGCGGUAAUACGUAGGGGGCGAGCGUUGUCCGGAAUUACUGGGCGUAAAGGGUGCGAAGGUGGCCUUUUAAGUUGGAUGUGAAAUACCCGGGCUUAACUUGGGGGGUGCAUCUAAUACUGGAGGGCUAGAGUGCAGGAGAGGGAAGCGGAAUUCCUAGUGUAGCGGUGAAAUGCGUAGAUAUUAGGAGGAACACCAGUGGCGAAGGCGGCUUUCUGGACUGUAACUGACACUGAGGCACGAAAGCGUGGGGAGCAAACAGGAUUAGAUACCCGGGUAGUCC
rnacentral:rRNA from 1 species